ensembl:snRNA U6 U6 spliceosomal RNA
GUGCUUGCUUCGGCAGCACGUAUACCAAAAUUGGAGCGAUACAGAGAAGAUUAGCAUGGCCCCUGCGCAAGGAUGACACACAAAUUUGUGAAGCAUUCCAUAUUUUU